rnacentral:lncRNA from 1 species
UUUUGUUGCCAAGCCUUCAGGGAAUACUUCAUACCCAAGCCACACACUUGACAAAAGCUAUUCCAGUGCCGAGGUUUGGUUCCCUGCUACACUGAUUAUAUUUGUUUUGGACUUGAAGACCAGAGAUGUACCAGGUAAAGACUUCACCCUCUGGAGAGGUGAGGUAUCUUGUCACAACAACAAGAAAAGUCACCAAUGCAACAAGUUAGAAUCAUCUAUAAAAUACUGCAACUGGUUUUAAGAGUAAGGGGGUAUUCAGCUUACAAAAUGACAAAGAAGAGACCACUAGGAACCCUACAGCAAAAGAAUGCGAGGUCUGGGCUGAGAGCCAACUCUGAGCUGAGAAAAACAUUCUGGGUGUUCUGGCUUCCUUGGAAAGCAAGUGUUCGGGAUGCUCCAUAUGUUGAACUUCGGCAUCUGCAGUCCACCCAGCAGAGCUGCAAAGGAGCAAGGAAAACCAUCCAGAAUAGAUGGAUAUGUUUGGCCAAUCACCACACACAAGUACUGGGUCUGGGUCCAACUAUUUUUGUUACACCCAAAGCUCAGUGUCUUAUGUGUAGAUGACAAAUGGAAGGAGCAAAGCCUUUACCUGAUGUGGGGGCUGGAGGUGAGGCUAAGUUGUAAUGUUCUGCCAGAUAAGAGCAACAAUCAGCUUCCAAAUGUUCUCUGUGAAAUCCAUACAUGAUGGGAAAGUACUGAAUGGUCCUGCAAAAAUAUGAAACUAAGAAGCAGAAUGAAAGAAAGUGAACCUGAGUUGUUUUGAGCACAGAACACUGGAACAGGAGUUUGUAACUCUAGCUUUACUCCUACUGUAAAGAUCAGAGGACAAAGCUUGGAGGUUUGGUUGUCACAGCAGUCAACACUAGUGAUGGCUAAUGUGACUAUAUGCUUUUCCUCCAAUCCCCCAAGCAGGAGAUUAAACUCAGGUCAAUGUAGCUACAUUAUCUAACCCUCUAAACUAUAACUUCAGGGUUGAAGUGAUAGCUUAGCAGUUGUACUUUGCCUAAUAUGGUAAAGGCCCUGUGUUUGAGGUCCAGCACCAAAAAUAAACUACAGUUUUCAAGGAAGUUAUCA